UACGUAGGUGGCAAGCGUUGUCCGGAAUUAUUGGGCGUAAAGCGCGCGCAGGUGGUUUCUUAAGUCUGAUGUGAAAGCCCACGGCUCAACCGUGGAGGGUCAUUGGAAACUGGGGAACUUGGGUGCAGAAGAGGAAAGUGGAAUUCCAAGUGCAGCGGUGAAAUGCGUAGAGAUUUGGAGGAACACCAGUGGCGAAGGCGACUUUCUGGUCUGUAACUGACACUGAGGCGCGAAAGCGUGGGGAGCGAACAGG
rnacentral:rRNA from 1 species